rnacentral:rRNA from 1 species
AUACAAGUAGUAGGGAAAGGGAAAACUAGGACCGACCCUUCCGGGGAGGCUUGAACAGGUGCUGCAUGGCUGUCGUCAGCUCGUGUCGUGAGAUGUUCGGUUAAGUCCGCUACGAGCGCAACCCUCGCUGUGUGUUACAAGUGUCACACGGAACUGCCGGUCAUAAACCGGAGGAAGGUGGGGAUGACGUCAAGUCAGCAUGGCCUUUAUAUCCUGGGCUACACACACGCUACAAUGGGAAGGGACAAUAGGUUGCGAAACCGCGAGGUGGAGCCAAUCCAGCAAAACUUCCCUCAGUUCAGAUUGCAGGCUGCAACUCGCCUGCAUGAAGUUGGAGUUGCUAGUAAACGCAGGUCAGCCAUACUGCGUUGAAUACGUUCCCGGGCCUU